AUGCAAAUAAUCCUAUUUUUCUUGUUCUCCAAAAGCAAAAUAUUCAGGUUUGCUAAAGUAAUUGUGGUGAUAGAAAUGUAUUAGCCUCAGAAGCUACUGAGGUGGUUCAUUCUAUCCUAGUACAGUG